rnacentral:rRNA from 1 species
UACGUAGGUGACCAGCGUUGUCCGGAUUUACUGGGCGUAAAGAGCGCGCAGGCGGUCGUUCAAGUCGAGUGUGAAAGCCCCCGGCUCAACUGGGGAGGGUCACUCGAUACUGAUCGACUUGAAGGCAGGAGAGGGAAGCGGAAUUCCCGGUGUAGUGGUGAAAUGCGUAGAUAUCGUUUGGAACGCCAAUGGUGAAAACAGGUAGCUGGGGAUGAGCUGACGCUGAGACACGAAAGCCAGGGGAGCAAACGGG